GACGAACGCUGGCGGCGUGCUUAACACAUGCAAGUCGAACGGAAAGGCCCUGCUUUUGUGGGGUGCUCGAGUGGCGAACGGGUGAGUAACACGUGAGUAACCUGCCCUUGACUUUGGGAUAACUUCAGGAAACUGGGGCUAAUACCGGAUAGGAGCUCCUGCUGCAUGGUGGGGGUUGGAAAGUUUCGGCGGUUGGGGAUGGACUCGCGGCUUAUCAGCUUGUUGGUGGGGUAGUGGCUUACCAAGGCUUUGACGGGUAGCCGGCCUGAGAGGGUGACCGGCCACAUUGGGACUGAGGUGCGGCCCAGACUGCUACGGGAGGCAGCAGUGGGAAAUAGUGCACGAUGGGCGGAAGCCUGAUGCAGCAACUCCGCGUGCGGGAUGACGGCCUUCGGGGUGUAAACCGCUUGCGCCUGUGACGAAGCGUGAGUGACGGUAAUGGGUAAAGAAGCACCGGCUAACUACGUG
rnacentral:rRNA from 1 species